GACGAACGCUGGCGGCGUGCUUAACACAUGCAAGUCGAACGGAAAGGCCUGCUUUCCCUUGUGGAUUGCGGGUACUCGAGUGGCGAACGGGUGAGUAACACGUGAGUGAUCUGCCCCCAACUUGGGUAUAAGCCUGGGAAACUGGGUCUAAUUCUCGAUAGUACUGCAGGGUGGUGCCUGUGGUGGAAAACGAUUUUCUAGUGGUUGGGGAUGAGCUCGCGGCCUAUCAGCUUGUUGGUGGGGUAAUGGCCUACCAAGGCGGCGACGGGUAGCCGGCCGGUGAGGGGGGACGGCCGAAUUGAGACUGGGACACGGCCCAGACGCCAGCGGGAAGCAGCAGUGGGGAAUAUUGCACAAUGGGCGUGAGCCUGAUGCAGCGACGGCGCGUGGGGGAUGACGGCCUUCGGGUUGUAAACUCCUUUCGACCGCGAGGAAGCCACCUGGAUGGAAGGGUGGUGACGGUAGUGGUAGAAGAAGCACCGGCUAACUACGUG
rnacentral:rRNA from 1 species